GAUGAACGCUGGCGGCGUGCCUAAUACAUGCAAGUCGAGCGAACAGAUGAGGAGCUUGCUCCUCUGACGUUAGCGACGGACGGGUGAGUAACACGUGGAUAACCUACCUAUAAGACUGGGAUAACUUCGGGAAACCUGAGCUAAUACCGGAUAAUAUAUUGAACCGCAUGGUUCAAUAGUGAAAGACGGUUUUGCUGUCACUUAUAGAUGGAUCCGUGCCGCAUUAGCUAGUUGGUAAGGUAACGGCUUACCAAGGCAACGAUGCGUAGCCGACCUGAGAGGGUGAUCGGCCACACUGGAACUGAGACACGGUCCAGACUCCUACGGGAGGCAGCAGUAGGGAAUUUUGCGCAAUGGGCGAAAGCCUGACGGAGCAACGCCGCGUGAGUGAUGAAGGUCUUCGGAUCGUAAACCUCUGUUAUUAGGGAAGAACAAAUGUGUAAGUAACUAUGCACGUCUUGACGGUACCUAAUCAGAAAGCCACGGCUAACUACGUG
rnacentral:rRNA from 1 species